rnacentral:lncRNA from 1 species
UCAGGCCCAAUAAUUUAUUAUACCACUAUAUCAUAAAUACGAUCCAUAAUAUUGGUAUAUGUGCUCUUAUUAUCCAAUUACAAUCCAUUUGGAAUACAAUUGCAGAUCUCUAUAAUUUACAGUCUUUUACAUUUACAUCGUUAUUGCAAUCAUUAACAGUCUUCCAUAAAUAUUAUCUCAACUCAGUUGAAUUCCAUAGGACUCUUCUUUCUUCCUAUUACCUGAAAAAAAAAUAGUAAGCAGGGAUGAGCACCAAACUCAAUGAGUAGGAUUGGAUAACCCUCUCACCCCACACAAUCACACAUAUGCUAACAGAAAUCAUUUUAGUCCUCCGACUAAUUAUAUGAUCAUGCAGUUCACACACAAAUAACAAUACAACAUCAACCACAAAUAUUAUCUUCAUAUAAUCACAUCACGUGAAAAUUAGUCAGUGGCAUCACCGAAAGCCCCGAUGAGCCGUCCUCCCACAUGGCCCAUCCUCUCAUAACAUGUGCACCAGAGAGCCGAUUCCCAUACAUGGCCGAUCGGUCUAAUCCUCACUUGACCAGCCCUAUCAUUGUGGUUCCAUUCUCUCUUUUCUUUUCCAUACCAACAAGAGGUCACCUUGUGGUCUUCCAUAUCAUUCAUAUCAUAUCAUCAGGUGCACACGAGGGCACCGAUCUCCCGAUACACGGCUGACGGUAUCGUAGACCACCCUCACAAUCCCAUGGUGACCCUCUUCAUCCCAAUUCCACAUAAACAAGGCACAGUAAUAUUAUAACACAGUAAUCAAACAAUUUCUUUUUAAUCGCAACAAAUAAUGCAAAACAAUAUAGUAUUUCACCAAGUAAUGCAUGCUAACAUUUAGUCGUGAUGCAUGAAUGCAAAAUGUAAGUGGAUGAUACGAAUUAUCUAACACUACUCACAGUUUUUUGUUGUUCUUAAUAGGACCCUCUUUAUUAUUGCUCGUUCUCAGCUUUUGUUUCGACGUUCUGAAACUUCGCAAGCAUCUAGAAGGAAAUUCUAAGUAAGAAUUCUAAUCCAAGAAAUUCAAUCUUUAUUUGCUAGAUAAUUAAAGUCAUUAUUUAAGUUAUUAAACUAUUUAAUUACAGUAGUCUUGUUUAUUCGUUUAUUUUGUUUACAUCUUUAAUAUAAGUGUCUUUAGUAAAUUUAAUGUUUCAUAAUAAUGGUAAUAUUAAUAAUAUUAGCAACAUCAGAUAUAAAAGUAACAUCAAUCGUGGUAUUAGUUAUACCAAUAAAUUUUGGAGUUAUUUCCAUUUAUUACUAUAGCUAGAGCGGCUCUAAUACUCACACAUUAUAAUAUAAGUGAUUUAUACCACCAAUACAUUUUAACUAUUAAUUUCCUUUCACAAUUUACUUAACCAUGAUCAUUUGUACAAUGUAUUCUAAUUCAAUACUUAAACCACAUUCACGUAUUAAUUUGAUUAAUAGCUUGAAAUUUAGGCGUUUAUAUUUUCUGACAGAAGUCCUUAUUGUCCAUUAACUACAUUGAAGUCCGAUUUUUAUACGACGCUAAUGUAUCUCAGCUAUCUGUAUUCACGUUCAUAAAACUCCAAUUUUUGACUAAUUCGAUUAAUCUUAUAUUUAAUGAAUUAAUUAAUUAAUUCAAGUUUUGAAAUUUAUACUGAAAAUGAGCAACUAGGUCUUACAGUGUACCGAUCGAAAAUCGGACUCCAUUUCCGUGAUCUACGCGAAGAGGAGGUCAUUCUGCCUCUCGAAGCCUCGCCGGAGUCACACCAGCCGGUUGCCGGACCUCCGCCGUCACCGCCGUGUACGGUGGCCGAGAAAGUCAAACAACCCAGAAUUUUGCAAAGACAGCCCCACCGGACUCAAAUUUUUAUAAAGAUUUCAUUUUCGGCGUCAAUUGAGCUAGAUCAGAUCUCCAACCCGUCGGAUUUGGCUCGACAGUGGCUGUAGCUCCGCCUCUAAUGGUGAUUUCAUCCUCACUGCUCCAUCGCCAGAAUUAAUGGAGGGAAAUUGUCCAGGAGGUGACUAGGUGUCGAUUGAGACCAUCCCUAGCGCUUGAAGUCGAUGGAAAUGGCGAGAUUUUGCCGGAGAACUCCAUCGCACGGUGGCGCGGCCUUCCAAUCGCGAUAUCUUUCGAUUCUAGCUCUUAUCGCGCGAACCAAUACCACAGAGAAGUUCGUUUCGACGAAAGGAUCAAGAUGGAGUGCUCGUUUGCCGGAUCCCGUAGCCGAUGGCCGGAAAAUGCAGUGAACAAAGGAGGAGAGGGUUGUUGCGC